AACGAACGCUGGCGGCAUGCCUAACACAUGCAAGUCGAACGAGAUCUUCGGGUCUAGUGGCGCACGGGUGCGUAACGCGUGGGAAUCUGCCCUUUGGUUCGGAACAACAGUUGGAAACGACUGCUAAUACCGGAUGAUGACGAAGGUCCAAAGAUUUAUCGCCAGAGGAUGAGCCCGCGUAGGAUUAGCUAGUUGGUGUGGUAAAGGCGCACCAAGGCGACGAUCCUUAGCUGGUCUGAGAGGAUGAUCAGCCACACUGGGACUGAGACACGGCCCAGACUCCUACGGGAGGCGGCAGUGAGGAAUAUUGGACAAGGGGCUAAAGCAUGAUCCAGCAAUGCCGCGUGAGUGAUGAAGGCCUUAGGGUUGUAAAGCUCUUUUACCCGGGAUGAUAAUGACAGUACCGGGAGAAUAAGCUCCGGCUAACUCCGUGCCAGCAGCCGCCGUAA
rnacentral:rRNA from 1 species